UAGAGGCCCUGACCUCUUUACUCUGUGCCCUCUUCUCCGGGGUGGGGAGGAGUUGCUUUUCCAGGAUUUGUGGUGAUGAAUGGGGUGACCCCUGUGGGAGCCAGAAGAAAAGGAGGAGAGGGAGAGGGCUGCAUCCUCCACCCCCUGAGCCCUGGGAAGAUGAAAAGUGAGUCAAAGAAGGUUCUGCCUCAUGGAAAUGGCCUCUCUGUCCAGCAAGGAAAGGAAGCUGCUGCCAGGAGCUUCUGGGAAGAAAUUUCUGUGCCAUUCUUGGAAGGAAGAGCCAAGAAAGUUCCUGGUGCCUGCUGUGGGAGCAGAAGUUCUUGGGAAGGGUGAGGGAUGAGCUGAAAGGAGCAAGAUUUCCCUCCCCAGGGGAAGCCAAGAGCGUGGAUUCCAUGGAAUUCCUGAUGAGAGCAUGGGCUGGAAAGGGAUGCAAUAAACCGGGUGUGAAGGGAGCUGUGAGCUCCUCAUCACCAUCCAGCUGUGUGAAGCCUCAGUGAGGGGCUUGGAGCAGCUUCCAGGAGAUGGGGGAGAUGAAGGAAGGACGGGAAUGGACCCUGUGUGUUGAUUAUUCCACUUACUUUGGCCUCUGGCUGAGGAGCCCCUUUGAAUGAGUGCUGGUGGUGAGAAAUGAGGAAAUUUGUUGGUUCAGCAGUGGUUUCUCUUCUCUGGGUGCUGUUUCUGCUGCACAGAUCUUGAUGAAUGCUGUUUCCUCCGAAGGGAAAGAAUGAGGGAUAUGGGAAACCACCAGGUGGCAACUUCAAAGUAGAAGAGGGUUGAAUAUCUGGUCCCUUUUUCAACCAAUGUCUUCAGUGUGGGCUACAGAUUUAGAUGAGCUCUUUGGAAAAAAAAUCCCCUGGCAGGUCUAGGAAAAUAACCACAUCUCCUGAGGCUGCUGAUGUGGAUUUCCUUUCUAAAGGGAGGUAAGAGACGCUUCCUGGGAGAGGCUCGAGUGUGUUUUAUCAAGCAGCAGGUAUCGAGUUAUCCCUGUGCCCACCUGCGAGUGUCUCUGUGUCUCACCAUCCAAAACUGGGUUUUGGAUUUUUUUUUUUUUUAAUUUCUGCUUAGGACUUUAUUCUUGAGAAGAGGCGCCUGAACUCCUGCCCAGGGACCUUGACUUACCCCUGUGUCCUCUGCUCUGGCUGGGGAAAAUCUAUAGGGGAGCAAAGUGCCCUUGUCCUUCCUCUCAGGAGCUGCAAAACCUCUCUCUGCAUGGCCUGGGAGAAAAUGUGGCCCUGGACUUGCCCACAGUUUGAUCUUCAGAGCAAUAAUUAAUUUGCUGAGCGGCUGUGAGCUGUGGCUCUGACCCAGAAUAUGGAACAGUCUCCCUGCUGAGGGCCUGGUUCCCUCCCUGUGAAUAUCUCCUGUGUCUGUCCCCAUAUUUGGGGAGGAUGGAACUCAGGUGGGAUCCCCAAGAGAGCAGAAAAAGAUAGCUUUCCCUUCCAUAAAUCAGUUGUGAUGGAGGAGUUCCUUUCAGGAUUCAGUUGUGGUUGGGAAUCUUCUACUUCAAUGUGCCCAGCUGGGCUCCCUUUCCUGCAAAAGACAGGAUUAUAAAUAAAGGGUGGAUUUCAACCCUGAGCUUCACAGUUCCUGUCUUUGGAGGGGGACCAUGGGUGGAGCCCCACUCUACUGCAAAGGUUUUCCUUAAAAACAGACCAAAAUUGAACCUCUGGCUUAAAACAACCCCUUGAUGGUUCAAGGCCUGUGCAUCACCUGCUUUUUUCUUGGCCUCUAUCACCCACCCCCAAAAAACAAACCCUAAAUCUUCCCCUAUUUAACCCCCUGGCCAAUCUUAAUUGUGUUUAAUGGGAGGCCCAAAGGCCUCUGGGUUCCACCAAAUCCAGAUGAUUCCCUCCAAUUACUUCUGUAAAUAACAUUUCUGGGGCAGUGGGAAUCUUUAAUCCCAAACCCCAUCAGCAAAGUGGAGGCAGGGAAGGAAGUGGAGUCUCAAUGACUUCCUGGAUUUCUAACGCAGGGAAGGAUUUUUCCCUGGUAAAACCAAGGGUUGGGUGGUGGAAACUCCUUGUCUCUGUUACCUAAUGAGUGGGAAUGGGGUGGGAUGAGCUCCAGGUUAGACAAAGGUCUGGGAAGAGGAGAGGAGGGAAUCCCAUCACAUCAAAGCAGUGCCUGGGACUAGUCUUAUUUAUUUCCUGGUGUUGCCGCUUGGACUGGUGUGAGGCACCUUGACAUUGGUUUGGGGGAAACUGGGACAAGGUGGGGGUUUUUCAUAGGAUAAGAGUGAGAAACACUUUUUAGGUUCUGCUCUGGGUAAAAUUGGAGGGAGGUGUUCUCAUGAGACCUCAAACUCUGGGUUCUUUGGAAAAACAAGCCACAUCCUCCUGUUUGUUAUUAAAAGCGAGUUCACAAGU